AGUAAAUAUGAACAAAAGUAAUAACAAAGAAGUUUAUAAAUAUUUAUUAAUUUAUGGUGAACAUUAAAAUAUUAAUGUAUGAUGUAUCCAGAUAAUACACAUAUGAUAUGUACUUUCAAAGAGAGGAUGAAGGGCAGCACUGAACGAGAAUAGCCAUUUAUGAGAGUGGAGUGUGUUGAUUCUGACUUGGAGUGAUGAGAAGAUUUAGACUUGAGUGAUGGGAAAAGUUCCAGAUUACAAGGAACUACAAUCCAAAAGAAGAAAAGACAAAUCGUUGAGUUUCUGUAUGAAAAGUUGAAGUUUGUUAAAACGACUAAUAUACAGUUCCACUGUUUAAGUAAAGGAACCUCAAAGCUUCACCAUUACUAUGAUGAUACUAUUAUAGUAUUACGUUGUAUAUAAAGAUUAAGAAGCAGAGAUGAAACUGAUGUACAUGUUUUCAUCAUAAUAUCUUAUAGGGUGAAGAGUCUCAAGUACAAGAGUAUAGGCAAGAAGUGAAACUCAGUAAAGAAACCUUUGAAUUGUUUUUUUUUUGUCUUCAGUACAAAAAUAUUUAGGUAAGCUACAUGUUUGUCAAUAUUAUUUGAGAAAUAAAGCUUAUACACUUGUUAUUUU